rnacentral:lncRNA from 1 species
CGGCCGGGGGACACGGAAUUGCAUGCAAGCGCGGAGAUAGAUCGACCCAACAACAGCUGAAUUGAUCAGCCGCUGCCGCCGAGCACGGCCUUGAGCUUCUUCACCUGCGCGUCGUCCAAGAAUGUCACCUUCUCCACGACGGCCGACGGCAGGUUGUUGGCGAAGAGCGCGUAGUCGGUGAUCUGCAGGCCCGGGUUAGGCCCGCUGAAGGCGACGAAUGCCACGGCGGUCGAGGCGCCCCCGUUGUACUGGUAGUGGAGCAGGCCCUGGGGGAACACCAUGGCGUCGCCCUUGUAGAGCGUCUUGGUGUAGACGGUGUUGGAGGAGGACGUGAUGAAGCCAGCCAGAAUGGUGCCCUCGACGACGAAGAGCAGCUCGGAGGCGGCCGGGUGGGUGUGCAGCGGCACGACGCCGCCCACGGCGAUGUCGAGCCGGGCCCCGGAGAUGCCCAGCCCGUUCACGCCCGGGAACUGGCCCACGAAGGCCGGGGUCACGGCCGCCUUGAUGAGGUUCGUGGUGUUGCCGGCAGCGGCGAGGCCGUGGUAGUAGAAGUCGCCCGAGCUGACGCUGCCGGCCGCCUUGCACGGGUAGCCUGCCGGGGUGUCGCUGCAGGACAGGUCCGCCACGCAGAAGUCCUGGGUCAGGGCCAGGGCGGAGAAGGGCAGGAUGAGGAAGGAGAGGAGCACCGGGAGCAACAUUGUUCUGGCCAUGGCUACUUGCUUAAUUGGACUGCUGGCUGCUGUGUGCUUCAAGGAUUGCUGCUGCUCGAGGGUAGGUGUGCAGUGCCGUUGGGGUGUUUAUAUAGGAGGAGAGAGCCGAGGGGCGCAGGACGUAGUACGUAGGUAGAGUAGAGAACAAUGUAACGUGAGAGAAUUUUGGCGAGGCGUGCGCCUGUGUUCACGUGCAUCGGUGCAUUGCACACUACUGUCAGGAUUUUCGGCGGAGGUACGAUCUCGAGGAGCCAGUGGACAAGCGUUUAGCUGGGCAUGGUCCAGGAGGUACGAUCUCGAGGAGCCAGUGGACAAGCGUUUACGUCUUUGAUGGAGGAAAGCUCUCGAAUUGCUGCAUUAUUAGGGAAGGGCACCAAGGACACGAUCGAUGAGCUUAUUUUACCACGACAUGCAUGGAUUAAUGGAUAGGCCGAACUCACUGUGUCUUUGUAUCGAACAUGCAGAUGUGCAGGCACUAGAUCUUCACAACAACGGUAACAUUUGGUGGUGUAGCUGUCUAGCUGAUGCAUGCCAGGUUGCAAAUGCACACGGGCAACCAAGCUAUAAUUUGUGUUUUCCUAUGGCGCCAAUGCCUGGUCCCAUGUAAGUCGGUGUCUUUUGCUGCUCAUCUUUCACAUACAUGCAAGUUCUGGAGGCAAACACUGCACCAGUCUUUGUUGCUUUGCAAAUGCAAAAGCAAAAUAUCAGUAGCGCACUAAUUAACGGAAAAGCCUACGUUGCUUAGGCAUAGCCUUUUGCCGGAGGCUUUCUAUCGGGCUUACGGCCAAAAGUCCAAUAGACCGUGGUCGCCGGAAAAGCCUUCGGCAAAGACAGAACCUACGUCAAAGGUUGCGCCAGGCCCACGGCAAAGAACAGCCUAGAGUGUGGAAGGCCCACGGCAAAACGAAGCCUACGGUAAAGAUUAAGAGAAGCCCACGGCAAAGCGUUCCUGCACAUGGGCUCGCCGCACGGACUGACGGCGCGCGAACGGCAAAGAAGGGUCCUCCAGUAGCGGCAUUUUGGGUAGCCACGCAUGUGGAAAUUUAACCGCGCGCUGCGACUUUCUUAAUGGUGGAAAAAUAUAUUCUGCUUCGUUCAAAAGGGUAAAUCUAGAGUCUCACUCUCUCAGGUACAAUAAGAAGUACAGUACGACGAAAUGGAUCCAUCAUGCAUGGUUGAUCCGUAGCGCAGUUGAUUCAACCCAGAGUCUAACUGUCACAAGGUACAAUACGAGUACCUCGAAAUGGCUCGUCAAGGUGGAUCCGUGGAGCAUGUACUUCAUUCAGGAAAAAAAAACUGACUCAGGAAAAGGAAUCUGGGACAGCCCAGGCUCAUCUCUUCCCAACUGAGCCCCCUUCUCGAAUUGUUCCAUGUCAUUUCUCGCACCAAUAUCAAAUCAACUAAGUUCUGUCCACCUCAUCGGGGUUUCGAUCUUGUAUCUUUAAAAAUUUCAUUUUGUUUUCAUCAAGAUUUCGUAAAAUAUAAUUUCCUUUAGUGUUUAGUUUUAUUUCAUUCAGGUUUUAAAAAAAGUCACAGUUUCGUUCUUCUUUUAUUGAAGUUUUGUUCGGAUUUCAUUAAAAUAUCACUGACAUGGAGCAAUUUGAAAAGGGGCCUCACGAGGUAAAUCAGUAGGUAGUUGACUCUACAUUAGUUCUAUUAAGUCGACUUUAAUUUAGUCUUAUUAAAUCCAUUAUGAUAUAUAUUUUCAUAGCAUACUUAUUUGAUAUUCUAGAUGCUGAUACAUUUUUAUAUGAACUUUGAUCAAACGAACUUUGAGUUAUGACAAAGUUAUGACUUCUUAUAUUUAGAAACGUAUAUGUGCAUCGAUUCGAUGCAGAGGCCGCGGAAAUCAUCCCCUUCUCGAAAAAAAAACAAAUUACAAUGACACCUACUAAGGAAUUAUUGACAGUUUCAAAUGAAAUUCAACAUGAACAAAACACAUCUUGACAAGAAAAAGAAAAAGAUCACGGACGUAUGUACGUCGUCCACACGAAAGGCGCGCAAGCAAAUUAAUCUGACACACGACCGGUGACACGGAUUGUAUGCGAGCGGAGAUAGAUCGACCCAACAGCAGCAGAAUUAGCCGCUGCCGCCGAGCACGGCCUUGAGCUUCUUGACCUGCGCGUCGUCCAAGAAGGUGACCGUCUCCACGACGGCCGACGGCAGGUUGUUGGCGAAGAGCGCGUAGUCGGUGAUCUGCAGACCCGGGUUAGGCCCGCUGAAGGCGACGAGGGCCACGGCCGCUGAGGCGCCCCCGUUGUACUGGUAGUGGAGCAGGCCCUGGGGGAACACCAUGAUGUCGCCCUUGUAGAGCGUCUUGGUGUAGACGGUGUUGGAGGAGGACGUGAUGAAGCCCGCCAGCACGGUGCCUUCCACGACGAAGAGCAGCUCGGAGGCGGCCGGGUGGGUGUGCAGCGGCACGACGCCGCCCACGGCGAUGUCGAGCCGGGCCCCGGAGAUGCCCAGCCCGUUCACGCCCGGGAACUGGCCCACGAAAGCCGGAGUCACGGCCGCCUUGAUUAAGUUCGUUGUGUUGCCGGCCGCGGCGAGGCCGUGGUAGUAGAAGUCGCCUGAGCUGACGCUGCCGGCCGCCUUGCAAGGGUAGCCUGCCGGGGUGUCGCUGCAGGACAGGUCCGCCACGCAGAAGUCCUGGGUCAGGGCCAGGGCUGAGAAGGGCAGGAUGAGGAAGGAGAGGAGCACCGGGAGCAACAUUGUCCUGGCCAUGGCGACAGUUGCUUGGGCUGCAGGCAGUUGGGUGCUUAAAAGGUGCUUGCUGCUGCUCGAGGGUAGGUGUGCAGUGCCAUUGGGGUGUUUAUAUAGGAGGAGAGGGCCGAGGGGUGCAGGACGUACGUAGCUAGAGUAGAGAACAAUGUGAGUGAAUUUUGGCGGACUAAAAUGCAUCAGAAGUCCUAAUUUUUUCGCAAUGGUGCCAAGUUAAUCCAAAAAAUUUCAACAUGAAUGUUUGGGUCCUAAUAGUAUUUUAAAUGGUUCGUCAUAGGUCCCCUCUAGUGUAUGUGCCCCUUUAACAGUAUGACAUGGCCAUUGGGUUAGUGCCACCAAGGAUUGGGCCCACACGUCAGGUAAGGACAUGGAUUGAAAUCUUAUAGAAGAGUUCUUCUACGGUAUCCUAAAAAUAAUUUAGACCGUCCAUUUUUUAGAUCUAAGGGCUCAGAUUUGUUACUACUCCCUAAUACUCCAAUUGUGAAGUGUGGAGUAGUAAGAUGGAGUAAUUAGAGUUAAGGGCAAAGACGUAAUUUCGUCAAGGAAAAAAAUCCCCAAAACACACCCCGACCGACACCGGAGGCUCCCACUGCGCCGACGUCAUACCCGGGUAAGGGAGUGGAGGGCGGAGGCUGCGGCGCAUGCUGGGCGAGGACUGGUCGAGGACGGCGGCGGCAUCUGUCAGGAGGAGAGGCGGCCGUAGGCUGGGAAGGCAUCGCGCGCGGCGUCGAAGGCGCGGGCUGCAGAACGAGGAGCCGUGAAGGCGACGGCGGCGGCCGCGCGCGGGGAAGGCGGCGGCUCGCCGGGCAAGGAUGGCGGCAGCCGCGCGCGGCAAGGACGGCAGCGGCCACGCGCAUCGGGACUACGAGAGAGACGAAGGAAAUAAUUCUAAAUUUAUUUUUAUCCAUGCGAAAAUGUGAAAAGACAAAAAUGCCCAUGUGUAAUAUUCUGUUUAAUCCUGCUGGAGUAACAGGUACAGGAGAAUUUGCCUUAUAGAACCCUCCCCCCCCCCCCCCCCCCAAGCUAAGGCUCUUCCAUUUCGCAGCCUCUCUCAUCGUUCUUCUCUUCUUUCCCCGCACUGUGCCGCCCGCCCGGAGAGUGGUCUCCCCAUGGGAGCUUUGCGCUGCCGCGCCACCGGCCCGCGCUGCAGGCCCGCCCCGUCCUGCACAGCGUCGCCACCGUUUUUAACUCGAUGAGCUGCUGCUCUGGCCAGCGACACCGCCCCCUCUGCCUGGACGAACCUCUGCUUUGGCCCAUGCGCUUUGUCGGUCUGCCUUGACCUCGGCGAGAGCUGCUGCUCCGUCCCGCUGUGUAGCCCAUCCAGCCACCGCCUAAACCCUCGCCUCCUCGUCUGGAGAGGAGAGAAUUAAGGGGAGAGAACAACCGGGGACCACAAAAUGGAAGAACCUUAGCCACGAAAGGUAUUCUGUAAGAUUUUAGUCCACAUCCUUACCUGAUAUGACCAUUCCUAGGUGGCAUUAGUCAAAUGGCAACGUCAUACGGUUAGAGUGGCGCAUACACUAGAGGGAUCUACGGUGAACCACUUAAAAUACUAUUGUGACAUAAAAGUGCAUUUUGAAAGAUUUGAGACUAACUUGACACCUUUGCGAAAGAAUUUGACGAGCCAUGCGCCUGAGUUCACGUGCACCGGUACAUGUAACACAGCUGUCAGGAUUUUCGGCGGAGGUAUACGUCUCGUGGAGCCAGUGGACGAGCGUUUAGCUGGGCAUGGUCCACGAAAUGGCCGGGACGACGUACUUACGUCUUUGAUGGAGGAAAGCUCUCGAAUUGCUGCAUUAUUAGGGAAGGCACCCAGGACACGAUGAGCCCUUUUUACGACGACGCGUGCAUGGAUAGGCCGAUCGACCUCAUUGUGUAUCUUUAUAUCCAUCGAAGAUGCAGAUGCAGCCACUAGAUCUUCACAACGGUAACAUUUGGUGGUAGCUGUCUAGCUGAUGCAUGCCAGGUUGCAAAUGCACACGGGCAACCAAGCUAAUUUUGUGUUUUCCUAUGGCGCCAAUGCAUGGUCCAUGUAACUCGAUGUCUUUUGUUGCUCAUCUUUCACAUGACAUGCAAGUUUCUGGAGAUAAACACUGCACCAGUCUUUGUUGCUUUGCAAGUGCACCAAAAGCAAAAUAUCAGUAGCGUUUUGGGUAGCCACGCAUGUGAAAAUUUAACCGCUGCCGAUCGAAGAUCUAGCUACGUCGUACAUGCUUCUAGACUUUGUUAAUAGUGGGAAAAUAUAUUUUUCUUCGUUCAAGAAGGGUAAAUAUAGAGUCUCACUCGCGCGGGUACAAUACGAAGUACCACGAAAUGGCUUCAUCGUGGAUGGUUGAUCCGUGCAGAGUGAAUUCAACCUAGCGAGUCUAACUCUCACAGGUACAAUACGAGUACCACGAAAUGGCUCAUCAAGGGAUCGUGGAGCAGUUCAUUCAGGAAAAAAAAAGUUAUUUCAGGAAAACGAAUCUGGGACAGGCCAGAUCUCCUCCCAUCUUUGGACUGAUUUUGACUCCACGUGACAUGUUUUUUUCCUAAGAAUUUUCUCACGAUGCAUAAUAAGCAUCGAAUGUAUACAAUUUCGAGUUCAAUGACCAUUUUUGGGAGGAACCUGACGCCACAUCGAGGCAUCCGACUUGGAAAAUUUGAGAGGAAACCGCACUAGGUGGAGUCAAAACAGCUCAAAUCCGCAAGAGGGACCAAAAGUAUCCAGUUUUGUCAAUUGUGGGACCAAAUGUAUACGAUUUCAAGUUGAUGGACCAUUUUUAGAUUUUGCUGCCAAUUGAGUGACCAAGAAUAUAUUUUUCUUUAUAUACUACGGGUAGUCCUUUGUUAUAUCUCCAUGCUACAGAAUUAAAUACCCUCAUUGUUUUUUUGAGAAAAAAUAUCCUCACUUUGCACCUGAUGGGUGCAUAUGUUUCCAAAACAAAGGGCGUCUAUCCUGGUGAGCUGGUGCUGGCUGUUCAAUAUCUUUCCUCUAAUCCACAAAGAUCUUCGACUGAAUGGAACGGCUGGGGCUCAAAACAACUUUCGGCUCUUACAACUGGAAAUAGUGUGUGUACUUUCAUAAAAUGGGUGGCAAGUAGCAUUAGAGUUCUUGCAAAUGGAAAUACUAGCUAGUAUGUAUUUUCAUGAACACCAUUAAUUCCACAUUUCAACUGAUCGUACGAUUAUCAGCAAGAUACGCAUCUCAUUAGCCGUGGAGCUAGUAGAUCAAGUUCUCUGUCUAAUUUAUGAUUUCAACUCACGGACUAGGAAAUUUGUAGCAGCGCGCUCGCACACACACUGUAAGGGCGUUCAUCUGGACAAAAGCUAGAGAUACCAAUGACCGUUCACCUUCUUGUUGUGCUGAGCUGCAACACUUACCAGUUAUGAAAAUUUAUACGAAAUCUAGUAGACAAAAUAUGAUACGCCUUAAAGAACUGCUUCACCAAACUGCCGUAUCCAUAAGUAACAAUGCCAAACGGAGCUCAUAGUGUUCGGUUUUGUAAUGUGGAACAUUAGUUCGCACUAACUUGGUUUUCCAUUGAUGAUGUUUUGUCAGGAUCGAUCAGGUCUGCACAACUCGAGCUGGAUCGAUCUAUCUACCUAUCUGCUCGUGCAGAGAAUGCUUGGCCGGUAUCUGGUACCUAAUCUUAGUUGGCUGUCCAAGACAGCAGCACCUACUUUUUUCGAGAAAGACAGCAGUACUGCAGCAAAUUGACGCUUUGUUUUGCGAAGCCAAAACAUCAAAAGGGAAGAUAUUAUGUCCUGCAAAUACUUCGUGACAAAAUGAAAAGAAAGUUUAGAGGGGGAAAUGUGUGUGCAUCCUAUAAACCUGCUUGCUCGGUUGUUACGAGCACUAGGCCAGUUAGUGAGAGUAAAUCCUUGUUAGUUGCUGAUCAGGUAUAUAUCGACGUGGCAGCAAAGCAAAUUAAUCUUUGUUUUCCAAAGGAUCAGACAAGCUAGUGAAGCCGCCCAUAAUCGUCCAACCACUUCUCAUUCUAUAAGACCCCUCGGUCAGGCGAAAACACAAAGACGGCUGGGAUUGACGCGUACCCUUCGCCCGCCGUGGCAAUUUUGUAAAUAUCGCCGCGUAGAACCCAGCGUAUGGCUCUAGAAAGCCCAUACAGGCCGCAAGGGGUUGUACGGGGCUGUAUUAGUUCGCGUCGACGUGUAUACAUACUCGGCGUACUCGGACGGCGUAAGCCCGUUAUGGAAUAAUACCCGCGUUGUCGGCAUAGACUUGCCCUACAAUUCCCUCUAAUCCAGAGAAAGAAAUAAUGUCCCGAACACACCCGUUAUGGAAUAAAACCCGCGUUGUCCGCAUCGACUUGCCCCACGACUCCCUCUAAUCUAGCGAAGAAGAAAAAAAAACGCCCCGGACGCACAACCACCUCCGGCGAUGAAGCGAACGCACGGAGCAGACGACGCCGUGGCUGUUGUCAAGGAAGCUGCCGUCGUGACAGAUCCAGUGGAGGAGGAGGAGGAGGCCGUGAUCGUGGCAGAUGCAGCGGAGGAGAAGGAAGGCGUGACCGCGUUGGGUAAAGCGCCGACAGGUUCGGUGACGUCUUCGCCGUCUGAGAUCGCCGCGGGGUCCAAUACCCGCCAACAGGAGGAGGACGUUGUUAGCGUCGUCGACCCCAUUAAUCUGCUGCACGACUGGGACUUCUCCGACGACUCGGCCGACUACACGGAGUUUGAUGAAGUCCUCAGUGACUUGGAACCAGAGGUAAGAUCAAACUAGUUAGUCCAUGUGCUCGAUGCAAUGUUAUUCUAGGCUUUGUCGAUGCAAUCUAGUUUGUCACCGGUAUGCUAAGUCUAUGCGAGUUAGGGUUAGUCGGAUACACUAUUGAUGUUAAGUUUCAUGUUAAGUUGAGUUUACUAUGCAUGGUCUGCGCCAAUUUGUAGGUGAUGUAAAUUAUGGCUGAAUUUAUGUCAGAAUCAUUAUCUUCGUCGUACAAACGGUGAUUUGGAUAUUCUUGAUGAUCCGUCGUGAAUUACAUAUUCUUGUGUAACGCCGAUCUUCGGUAGUAACAUAUGCUUGUUGAUGUUAUGCAGGAAAAGGAUUCGGAUGUCGGCAGUGAGGAGGAAUCGAUUCAAGCGAAAAGCCGUCACGUCCUCAAUGCACUGGAGUAUGGUGCGUACGAAUACUGUUACGGUGAGAAAUGGGUGUGCCCGUUUUGUCACAAGAGGAGCCUCGCAAACGACUUCAAAAGCAUGGUGAAGCAUGCCGAAGACACUGGGCGUGUGUCUAAGAAGGCGCCUCACAUUGUGGCAAAACACAAGGCGUUCGGCGUGUUCUUAAGAAAGCUCGAAGCUCAGGAGGUGGAUGCGGACGCCGAGCCUUCCAAGAAGAAGGUGAGGAGGGAGAGGAAGAAGGGGAGGAAGUGAGAAUCGAACCAUAAAAUUUUCGUCGUAUUUUAUUUGCUAUUACUGAAUUAUGGUGGUUUGAAACAGUUUAGUAGUUUGAUUGAAAAACAUAAGUAUCGUUAAGUUGGUUGCAUGAACUAUUUAUGAUGUACACGUGUUGUCGCACGGGGCUCCGACACCGGGGAAGCGCGGGCACCCCCUUUUUAGGUUCGGCAGUGGGCUACGGGGAUCGCUCCGGCGAUCGCCGGCGGGACCAAUGCAAAGCGUAAGAAUGCACCAAGAACACAGGCACAAACUUUUUACCCAGGUUCGGGCCACCUUCGGUGUAAAAUCCUACGUCCUGCUUGUCGGAGAUUGUAUUACUGUGAAAUCGGCUGUUUACAGGUUUGCCGGGGGAAGCCCCCAGAUGGUCUCUUUUGGCUAAGUGUUUUUUCCUACUUCGGGCUACUGCCAGUGUUGUACUAUGAGUUGGCUCAACAAACGAACCAACGAGCGAAGCGAACCAAAAAACCAACAACCCGAACCCUUUGACCGUUGACAGGGGUCCUCCUUUUAUAGCCAAGAGGAUACCACAGGUGCCACGGUGCAUGGUUUACAAGUGGCGAGCAAGGAGCUUGGGCAGCUCCUCCUCCGUGCGCUGGCAUGCAUACACGAGCGCCAACCCCGCGGUUAGGGGUCUAAGGCCUAAAAAAUAGGACUAGACAGCCACUGUUCGUCCGACUAGACAGAUAAUGCCCCUCCUGUCGGCUCAUUAAAUGCGUCGUGCGCUUCACUCCUUGCCCUGGCAAAACUGCACACUGGGUGCCUGUCGCACGCCCACGUGGCGCCGCUGCUCUGCUCGCUCGGCCCCGCCCUCACGGCGGGAACCUGCGCCCGGGAACACCUCCUCCCGGCAAGUGCCUUCCCGGGAGGUGCCCAGGCAGGAUUAUUCCCCGAAGCCCCGCUAGCCUUUUCGGGCUGGUAGCUUGCCGGGCAGCCUACACGUUGCCGCCCGGGGUGAGAUCCUCCCGGGAACUCAGCGAUGCGACCCACGCGUCGUGCAGCGGUGGUACCCCGGGUGCCACUGGUGCGACAGUAGCCCCCGGGUGUCGUCGCACGGGGCUCCGACACCGGGGGUACGCGGACACCCCCUUUUUAGGUUCGGCAGUGGGCUACGGGGAUCACUCCAGCGAUCGCCGGCGGGGCCAAUGCGAAGCGCAGAAUGCACCAAGAACACUAACAAGGGCACAUGCACACACUUUUUACCCAGUUUCGGGCCACCUUGCGGUGUAAAACCCUACGUCCUGCUUGUCUGAGCUUGUAUUAUCAAGAAAUCAGCUGUUUAUAGGGUUGCCGGGGGAAGCCUCCGAGCGGUCUCUUUCUGGCUAAGUGUUCCUUUCUACUUUAGGCUACUGCCAGUGUUAUACUUCGAGUUGGCUCUGGAAACGAACCAACGAACGAGCUAAACCCUUGUGAAAAAAGCCAACCGAACUGAACCUGAACCCUUUGACAAUUGGCGGGGGUCCUUCUUUUAUAGCCAAGGGGAUGCCAUAAGUGCCACGGUGCAUGGUUUACAAGUGGCGAGCAAGGAGCUCAGGCAGCUCCUCCUCGGUGCGCUGGCAUGCAUGCAUGAGCACCAACCCCGCGGCUAGGGCUUUAGGGCCUAAGAAAUAGAAUUGGACAGCCAUUGUUCGUCCGACUAGACGGAUAACGCUCCUCUGUCGGCUCAUUAAAUGCACCGUGCACCUCACUCCUUGCCCUAGCGAAACUGCGCACUGGGCGCCUGGCACGUGCCCACGCGGCGUCGCUGCUCUGCUCGCUCGGCCCCUCCCUCACGGCGGGAACCUGCGCCCGAGAACCCCUCCUCCCGGCAACUGACUUGCCGGGAGGUGCCCAGGCGGGAAUAUUCCCCGAAGCCCCGCUAGCCCUUCCGGGCUGGUAGCUUGCCGGGGAACCUGCAAAUCGCCGCCCGGGGUGAGACCCUCCCGGGAACUCAGCGAUGCGGCCCCACGCGUCGUGCAACGGUGGUACCCCGGGUGCUACUGGUGCGACAGUAGCCCCCGGGCAUGGGCCGGCAACACCCGUUCCAGGGCGAAUCCUUCCCUGGUCGGUUGCCGAGCUACGCCCCAACCGACGCGUGGGCCCCGACUCGCCUCGGGCCCGCGUCUCUUCGCCAUCCCAAGUACCCCGCCGUUACGGACGGAGUAGUGGGUGCGUGAUUUCCGCGGUAACUUCCCCCUUAAACGGGGAAGUCAAGGCCACUCUUCGCAUCAUCCCCUUGAUUAGCAAUUAUCCCAGCGCACCCGUAGGGUGCGGAACCGACCGUUACCGAACAGCCGGGUGCUAUAAAGUUUUUAUUGCUGCUCCAAGGGGUAAACACUUUGCUCCCCAGCCUUCGUCUUCCAUCUUCUUCGCCUCUUACGCCCAAAAGCUCUGCUAGCCUCUGCCCCCGCUCCCCAUGGCGCCCCCACCACCAGGAAGGGAAAGGAGGGGAAAGCCCCAAAGAAAGCGGCGGCCAGCAAAAGCGAGGCGGCCGCCAAGGCUGCCGCCGACAAGGACCAAAAGAAGUGGGCGAUGCGGGCCUCGCUCGCCUUCUACCGGCCCGACCAAGAUCCGGCACGCCGUUGCCUCCAAGUUCAACUAGCACGGGGAGACCCUGAUCCUCCCAGCGGGCGCCGACCACCAGGAAAACGACUUCCGGGUGUUCGGGCGCUUCCUCCUCACCGGGAUGGUGCCGCCAUUCUCGCUGUUCCUCCACGCACUGAUGGAGUCGUACCAGCUGCAGGUGGCGCAGCUCCACCCCACAUCGCUCUUCCUCCUCGCCACUUUUCAAUUCCUCUGCGAAGCGUUCGUCGGGGUGAUGCCGUCGGUGGCACUAUUCCGGCAUUACUUCUACCCCCGAAUCAACAACGCGAACGCGAUGUCGUCAGGGGUGGUGUUCCGAGCCCGCGACCGAAGGAAGUCCGAGUUCAUCGUCCGGUCGGAGAAGAAGAUCGAGAAGGAGUGGCGGGGUGAUUGGUGCUGGGUCCGGGUAGAAAACCCCGUGGAGUUCAUCCUCUCGCCCACCGAACUGCCGCAACCGCACACCGGCUGGUAGGAUCGAUACCACCGCGACGCCGAUCUCCUCCCCAUCGUGGAGAAGAUCAAGGCUUUGCGGCUGGCAGGGCUCACCGAUGUUGACGUGGCCCGCACCUUCAUCACCCGGCGCGUCGCGCCGCUCCAGUUGCGUUCCCGGCCCGCGUGGAUGUACACGGGUGCCGGGGAGAGGACACGCCUCCAUCGCGAAGGUGUGGAUAUGGAAUCCCUCCAGGUGUGGGUGAAGGGGAUCUCCGGCGAGGACCUUUCCGCUACGGGGUUCCCGCCGGGGGUCACCUCCCUCCACGCCGGCGUUGCGGGGCUCAACGACAUCGUCGCCUCCUUCCCGCCCUGCAACGAGUGGGGAUUAAUGGACAAUACCUCCACUCGGACCUCGCGCGCUCCCCCGCCGGCGCCUUGCGGAAAGCAGGUGCUUGAGGAGAGCGGGGGCGAGUCAGAGAUCAGCUGGCCCUCCCUUCAGUCCCUGGACGACGAGGCGGGCCAGCCGGCCUCGUCCCAGGUAGUCGUCCCUGUGGAUGACGACGACGAGGAUAGUGACGACGCGCCCCUGAUCAUGCGAACAUCAAGGGCGCGCGCAGCGGCCGCGGCUGCCUCCACGGCGGCUGCGGCAGCAUCGGUAGCCACCCCAAGGGCGUCCGCCGGCACUUCGGCGGCAACCACACCCGCGGCGGUUACCUCAGUAGUAGCUGCCGUGGCCGUGGCGGCAGCCACACCGGGGGCAGCUCCCAACGUUGCGGCGGCUUCGUCGUCGGUUCCUGCGGCGACCCGGGCCGCCAGCAACCCGAGGCCGGUUACCUCAGCAGUAGCUGUCGUGGCCGCUGCGGCAGCCACACCGGGGGCAGCUCCCAACGUUGCGGCGGCUUCGUCGUCGGUUCCCGCGGCGGCCCGGGCCGCGGUAACCCCACGGGCAUCCACGGCUCCGCCCGCUCGGGGGGUCUUCCGGGGCUUCGCACUCCGGCGCAAUCCCCCGAGGGCCGAUUCACCGGCGAGUGCCGAAACGCCUUGCCGGCCAGCGCCCGGGAGGCCACAUGGUGAGAGCAUAUGCCUCAAUGUAUCUCCUCCAACAGUGCACGCCCUUCGUCUUGGUGCACGCAGAGGAGCUUGACUCCAUUCGCACGCCUGCGGUAGAGAUCUCGUCUACCACGAUGUACAUUUUGGCUUGACGGGCCACUCGUUUCGCGGAGACGUCGUCUUCCGAGAGGGCUUCUCCCUUCAAGUAACGGGCGAUUUCCACCGCCCAGGGAGGGGUCUCCCUGCCAAUGCAUGCCGCGCCGUUAGUGGCAUGGACCUCCGCUAUUGCGGGGCUUCCUUCGAUUGUCGGAGGGGCUUCCUCGGCAACCGGCUUGGGGACGACUGAAGGCGCCACCUGCUUGUGGCAGAACACCCCUGCCGGAGGCUUCUGGCGUUUUGCUGCCAUCUUGGACAGCUCGUCAGCCGCGAAGUUGUCCUUCCGGUUGAUGUGCUCGAAUCACAAACCCUUGAACUUGCGUUCUAGCUUGCGGACUUCCUCCACAUACGGUGCGAUCUGCGAGCAGUCGGAGUCCUUGUUAACCUGGUUGAUCACGAGUUGGGAAUCCCCGGGAACAACCAGGUGCUUGAUAUCAAGGGCGAUCGCCGCCCGCAACCCGGCGAGCAACCCUUCGUACUCAGCCGUGUUGUUGGUGGAGUUGGGGAAGUCGAGCUGGAUGGCGAACUUCAGCUGGUCUCCUGUGGAUGUUUCGAUGAGGACUCCAGCGCCCGCUCCCUGCAGGUUGAACGUGCCGUCGAAGUACAGGAUCCAGUGUCCUUCGUCUAGCUUGCCAGGCAGGCUAGUCUCCGGCUCUUCUUCUUCUACGCCCAUCGAAGUCCACUCCGCAACGAAAUCAGCCAGAGCCGCACUCUUGUUGCUCUUGGUGUUGGUGAAGUGCAGGUCGAACUCCGACAACUCCAUCCUCCAUUCGGCCACCCUUCCGGUGGCGUCACGGUUGGUGAGGGCCCGCUCGAGGCAGAAUCCUGACACCACCAUGACGCGGUGCGCCUGGAAGUAGUGGCGCAGAUUGCGUGAUGCAAGCAGGAUCCCCAGCAAGAGCUUCUGCACUUGCGGAUACCACAUGCGGGAGUCGCGCAGCACCGUGCUGACGAAGUACAUCGGGUGCAGCGCGAGCCGCCUGCGCGGUGUUGACGCUGCCGGCUCGACGGCAGGUCUCGGGUCCGGGGCGGUUGCCGGGGCUAGUUCAGCCCCCUGCCCCGCAGGCUCAGCCUCCGGGAGGUCUCCCUCUCUCUCGGCAACUAGCACCGAGCUGACCACUUGGUCGGCCGCCGCUAGGUAGAGUAGCAGCGGCUCGCCCGGCUUGGAGGUGACGAGGAUCGACGGCGACUUCAGGUACUGCUUGAGAUCCUGGAACGCCGCCUCAGCCUCGAGGUUCCAGUCGAUUGGGCCCUUCUUCUUCAUCACCUUGAAGAAAGGGAGGGCGCGCUCGCCCCGCCUUGAAAUGAAACGUUCCUGCGCGGCUACACAGCCGUUGAGGCGCUGCACGUCCUUCACCCUGCGGGGAGCCUCCAUUUUCUCGAUAACUUCUAUCUUCUUUGGGUUGGCUUGAAUUCCCCUGUGCGAAACCAAGAAGCCCAAAAGCUGCCCCGAGUCUACACCAAAGGUGCAUUUCUCAGGGUUUAACUUGAGCUUGAUCCUGCGGAGGUUAUCAAACGUUUCACGCGGGUCAUCAAUCAGCGAGUCCCCGCGCUUUGACUUGAUGAUGAUAUCAUCCAUGUAGACCUCAACGUUUCGGCCUAGCUGAGAUCCCAAACACUCGCGUAAAGCAUGCUAGAAUGUUGAGCCCACAUUCUUCAACCCGAAUGGCAUGCACGUGUAGCAGUAACAGCCAACCGGGGUGAUGAAUGCCGUUUUUUCUUCAUCUUCGACUGCCAUCUUAAUUUUAUGGUAGCCGGAAAAAGCAUCCAAAAAACACAGCAAAUCACAACCAGCAGUGGAAUCUACUAUUUGGUCAAUGCGAGGUACAAGGAAAGGAUCUUUAGGACACACACGGUUAAGAUCAGUAAAAUCUACACACAUGCAAAGUUUACACUCCCCCUUGGGUACUACUACAGGGUUAGCUAACCAAGUGGGGUACAGUACUUCCCUGAUAGCCCCCACAGCUUUAAGCUUGUCCACUUCUUGCUUGAUGAAAUCUUUGCGCUCCUGUGCUUGCCGGCGGAUCUUCUGUUUGGCAGGGCGGACGUCUCGACGCACCGCAACUCGAUGCUCGAUCACCUCCCUAGGGACCCCGGGGAGGUCCGACGGUUCCCAAGCGAACACGUCGGCGUUCUCCCGGAGGAAAGUGAUGAGGGCGCUUUCCUAUUUGGCGUUGAGGUUCGCACCGACAGUGACGGUACGCUCCUCGUUGCCGGCUUAGAGGGGCAGCUUCUUCACCUUGGCGGCCUCCUCCUUGAGCUUCUGGCCCUUGCCGGGGCACGAGCUCGAGCCUGCGCCUCCCCUGGCAAGCUCUUGCGGGGUAGCGCGGGCCUUCUUCGCUGCGGGGCGAUCGCCCGGCAACGAGCCUUCGCUUCCGGCGACGUCCUCGUCACCGAAAUCGGCUGCGGCGGCGGCCUUGACAACCUCGCCAACACACCAGGCUGCGUCUUUGAGAUCGCACCUGAUGUAGAGGUGUCGCACCAGUGGCACACUGGGUACCACCGCUGUGCGACGCGUGGGCCCCGUUCCCGGGUUCCCGGGAAGGUCUCAUCCCGGGGAGCGUCUAUGAGCUCCCCGGCAAGCUACCAGCCCGAAAGGGCUAGCGGGGCUUCGGGAAAUAUUCCCGCCUGGGCACCUCCCGGAAAGCUGCUUCCCGGGAGGGGGUUCCCGGGGGCGUUGGGCCCGGGUGCUUCCCGAGGUCGACUUGCUGGGACUGGCGCUUCCCGGGCGCGUGCCCCUGCCUCGGGCGUGGGGCCUAGUGGACAGCGCCACACGGGCGCGUGGCGGGCACGGGACGCGCGGUCCCACCAAGGCGAGGAGUAAGGCGCAUGGCUCAGUAAACGAGCCGACCGACGGGUAGUUACCUGUCCGAUCAAAGGAACAGUUGUUGUCUAAUCCUACCCUAGGGUCUUAGGCCCCUAGCAGCGGAGGUGGCACCCAUGCACGCCACCAGCUCACUAGGGGGAGUUGUAUGCCUCCCCGUUGGACACUUGUAGCCCAUGCACCGUGGCACCUGUGGCAUCCCCUUGAGUAUAAAAGGAGUACCCAUGCCAGCGGUCAGGGGGUUGGACAGUUGCUCGGUUCCGCAUUGUUUUCUGGCUCGGUUCAGCAAGUUCGCUCAGUUCGCUCGGUAGGAGCUUAUUUGGUUCCAGUAGACAGCAGCAGGGAGCAGUGAGGAGCACCCAGCCACUGAGAGCAAGCCCAGGAGCUUGCCCAGCAACUUGUAAACAUUUGAUCCGCAAUCAAUAUCAGCUCAGACAGGCAGGACGUAGGGUUUUACACCUCCGGGUGGCCUGAACCUGGGUAAAAAACAUGCGUGCAUCUGUUCUUGGACUAGCGCGUACCCCUAGCACUUCGUCUCGCCGGCCUUGUAGGGCCUCAUCAGCCGUGCCGGCGAUCACCGGGCCUCCGCCCCAGACGCCCCUACCGAUCCUAAAAGGGGGUCGUGGCCGCACGCCCCAGUGUCGGAGCACCGAGCGACGACAAGAGGACUCCGUACUUGGACGGCAUCUUCAUCACGUCGUAGGCGCAAUGAGUCGCCGCCAUGAACUUGAUCAGCGCCGGCCGACCUAGGAUCCCGUUGUAUGGCAACGGAGUGUGCGCCUCAUCGAACACAAGGUGCUCAGUCCCGAACGCUCCUCGGGACCCGAAGGUAACCGGCAGCGUGAUACGCCCCAGAGGGUGCACGAUCCCGGGGUUCACUCCCCGGAACGGCUCGGUGGGCUUCACCUGCUCCAGCGGCAGCUGAAGUUUCUUCACCAACUUGGCGGACAGGAGGUUCAACCCCGCUCCGUUGUCCACCAGCACCUUGGUCACCGUCCCAUUGUUGAUGAUCGGUGAGACCACGAAGGGUAAAACCCCUGAACCCAGCUGCCGGGCUGGGUGAUCGUCGGCGCUGAAGGUAAUCGGCACGUGCGACCACUUCAGCGGCUGAUGUGCCUCCAUGUCCGGCAAUAGCGCACACACCUCCCGGGUGAGGUGCUUCACCGCGGCAUGGGAUGAGUGAGCGUAAGCUCCCCCCAUGGAUGCAGGCAACGCCGCGGGGCUCCUGGAAGCCAGGCUCGUCGCCCCCGCUGCAGUCGGACUCGCGAUGCUCCUCAGCGCGAACCUUGUCUCGUCCCCGAGGAGGGCGCUCCCUGCCGGCACGGGCCUGGCCGCGUCCCCCCGGGCUCCCUCUCUGCCGGCGCCCCCGCCGGCAGGCUUCAGCCCCGCUCUAGGGUCGUUCGGGCAAUUCCGGGAUAGAUGCCCGAUAUCGCCGCAGUUGAAGCAGGCGCCGGCCGCUCGGUGCUCUUCGUGGCGCUACUCACGCCUCUGGUUGAUACCCUGCAGGAUGCGGCAAUCCUGCGCGUCGUGGGUAGCGUUGGCAUGGAUGGGGCAGCGGGACGCAGCGCCAGGCUUGCCGCCAGACCCGCCGGCGGGCGAGGCCUUCUUCGCAGGCCUCGAGGCAGCCCUCGACUCUGUGGUGAGGACUUGCUUCCCGUUGCGAUUGCGGGAGCUCUUCUUCUGCGAGCCCUCAGCGGGGCUCGCGGCAGCGUUAGCUGCGAGUUCGGGCGCUAAGCGCCCUUCUGGUGCAGCCGUCCUCAGCGCCCAUGGGAGCAUCCUCCUGCUCCACUGGACGUUGGCGCUCUGCCUCACGCCGGCACCGGCACUCCAGGCGCGGGCAGAGGUCUUCCCGCUGGCGGGCGUUCAGGACGCCCCGCACGUCACCCCGCGUGACGGUAGGUGACAAAUCCGAGGACCCCUCAGGAUCCCCGCCACCUUGCCCUCCCUGCGGGGGAGGGUUUUCUCCCUGCCCCGAGGCGCGGGGCGCGUCUCCGCGUCUCAGGUUCUGCCCGCGGCUUGAUCCAGCUGGGGCACCCUCGCCUUGCGGCUGCUGGGCGGCGAGUGCCAGGAGCGCCUCCAGCUCCGCACUCCAUGCCUCGUGCACCGGCGUGCCUUGCGGUUGCUCGUAGCGCAGCAUGACCCGUGCGGUGAUGACAGCUUCUGCCGGGGUUUGGGCUGGAGGCAGCCAAUUCUUCGACCGGCUGCCCCUCGCCCUGUCCGCAGGCGCACCCGGGUGGGUAAGGUGCGACCCCGACGGCGUCGCUCGCGACGCGGUGUGCUCGUGGUGCAGCUGCCGCUGCGCGUCUUCGGCCCGCGAGAGGACUCGCUGCCGGCAUGUACGGCAUUGUGGCCGCUCGCGUCACUGGCUCCGGCGCAGGGACCGCCGGCCCCCACAGCGGUCAUCCGGCAACGGCCGAGGGGGUGGUGGCGGUGGCAGCUGCGACUGCGGCUGCGGCACCCAGGCAGGCUCAGGAACGCCCUGGUCCUGCGACAUGCGCUGCACGUGGUUCGACCGUGUGUGCGCCGCCGGGGCACCACGUGGGUUGAUCUGAGAGUCACCAGCCCGCUUGGGGGGCAUGGCGACUGGCUCUGUUGUCGGAGAAGACGAGGCCGUUGCUGCUGUAGACGACGGCGCCGGCAAUCUCCGGCGAGCUCUCCUCACACGCCCCCUACCUGGCAUGCUAGAUGUCGUAGCCUGGGGCGUAGACACCGGGGGUGAGCGGCACAGGGCGUCGGGGAUCGCUUCGGUGAUCGCCGGCGAAGCCAAUGUCAAGCGUGAGGAUGCACACAAUCAUUUUUACCCAGGUUCGGGCCACCCUGAGGUGUAAAGCCCUACAUCCUGCUUCUGUGUUCUUAUUAGCCAGUGAACAAGGGUUUACAGAUUGCCCGGGGAGUUCCCGGGUGUUCUCUCCUUUUCUGCUAGGAGCUACUUGCUAUUUCUGGCCAAAACUAGUAAAAUAAAACCGAACCCGAACCGAACCCCUUUGACCGUUGGCUAUGGUCAUCCUUUUAUACUCAAGGGGAUACCACAUGUGCCUCGGUGCAUGGGUGACAAGUGGCGAGCAAAGAACUAGGGCAGCUUGCCCUUGGUGUGCUGGCUUGCAUGCAUAAUGACUAGCCCUGCAACUAGGGUCCUACGUGCCUAAAAUUUACACCGGGCCAGUCACUGUAGGCUGACUGGACGGGGAAUCCCCUUUCUGUCGGUGCAUUUAAUGCUUGACUGUGCUUCACUCCUUGUCCUGACGAACCCUGCGCACGGGGAGCCCGCCGAGCGGCCACGUGGCGCCGCUGUCCUGCACACUCGGUCCCACUCCUGUAGCGGGCGCCUGCGCCCGGGAACGGCCUUCCCGGCAAGUAACCUUCCCGGGAAGCUCCCAGGCGGGAUUUCUCAUGCUGCCCUCCAGGGCAACCCCCGCAGCCCGGCUAGCCCUGACGUGCUGGUGACUUGCCGGGCAGCUCACGGCUGCUUCUCGGGGUGCGAUCCUCCCGGGGAGCAAGCGAGGUGGCCAACGCGUCAUGUAGCGGUGGUACCCCGGGUGCCACUGGUGCGACACGCGUGGAGGCACUGGCCCUGUCUCAGUUUCCUUCAUCAAGCCUCGAAGUAAUUUCCAUAUAUGUACAACUUACUCGCAAGACGACGACACCCGUGACCACCCCACGAGCAUCACAGUGUGCCUUCGCCUUAUCUCUAUCCUGCAUGUCAGAUUCCUGUAGUGCCCAAGGUAAAUAGCAAAAAAAAUUGAAAUGUACGAAAAACAUUUCCACGGUGCCUCGCUGGCACGUAACACGUUGCGGACGGGUCCGGCAUCUGCUAGGCCUUGUUCCGGAGCGUCCCGGCAACGAGCUUGGUUUUCGGGGUUCCGGCAGCCCGCUGCUCACAGCCAAGAAUGAGGAGACAAUUCUGUGCACCUAGAGCAGGAGACAGAAGCAUUCACAGAGAGCAAAGUACAAUAUUUACCAAUGUAACACUUAUCUUUAUUCAACUUUGUGCUAGCGGAUUACAAUCGGGCCUUGCCCGGCUACACUAGCUUAAAGAAGCAAGCUGCCGCAGCGUCACCCGUGGGUAAGGCGUCACCGUUUCACAGGUAGAACUUGCAUAGGUGCUCAAUGUUCCAACUAUUGGGUACCGGCAAGCCUUCUUCGGUUUCCAGCCGGACAGCCCCCGGUCUGGUCACCUACACUACCCGGAAAGGGCCUUCGCAGAUUGGAGUCAACUUGUUUCCGGCCUUCGUUCCUUGUAUCCGGCGCAGGACAAUGUCUCCAACCUCGAGCCCCUGGGGACGGACUCUUUUGUCGUGAUAAUGACGGAGCCCCUACUAGUAGCUUGCAGCUCGUACAGCAGCCCGGCAUCGAAUCUCUUCGAUGAAGGUAAGGUCAUCAAUCCUCUGCAUGUGUUGGCUCUUGUCGCCAUACGCGCGUACCCGAGGUGACCCAUACUUGAGCUCGAGGGGCAGCACAGCUUCUGCCUCGUAGACUAGGGUAAACGGAGUUUGACCUGUCGCCUGACUCGGUGUGGUCCGCAGUGAACACAACACGGGCUGGAGUUCUUCAACCCAGUGCUUCCCAUGGCCUUUGAGCUUGUCAAAGGUUCUCGUCUUGAGGCCCCGCAACACUUUUACGUUAGCUCACUCAACUUGCCCAUUGCUCCUCGGAUGAGCAACUGAGGCGAAGUGAAUCUUAGUGCCCAUGUCCUCGCAGUAAGCUUGGAACACCGCACUAGUGAAUUACGUGCCGUUAUCGGUGAUGAUGCCGUUAGGCACACCAUACCGGCACACAAUGCCCUUGAAGAACUUGAUGGCUACCUGCACCGUGACGGCUCGGCAGCUUGCCGACGAUGUCCAGCCCCCAGACCGCGAACGGCCACGAGGACGGGAUGACUUACAGGGCUUGCCCUGGUGGUUGCUCUUCUUGGCGUGAAACUGGCAUGCUUCACAGGUCUUGACUAAUUGCUCGGCAUUGGCUAGUGCUGUUGGCCAGUAGAAACCGUGUCGGAACGCUUUCCCCGCUAGUGCCCUGGAGGCCACAUGGUGUGAGCAUGUGCCUUGAUGUAUAUCUUCCAGCAACACGCGCCCUUCGUCCUGGGGCACGCAGAGGAGCAUGACUCCGUUAGGACGCCUCCGGUAGAGUUAUCCAUACCCGGGCAUCGCACAGCACGGUGCUAACGAAGUACCCGGGAUGUUGUACUAGCCGCUUGCGGGGGGGCAGCCUGCAUGGGCUGUCCCUCAGAUCCAGGGGCAAAGGAGGUAGCCGGGGGUUCUUUUGGCUCGCCGGAGCCCUCGGCCCUUCCGUCUCAGCCCCCGGGACUUGCUCUUCCCUCUCAGCGACGAGCAUGGAGCUCACCACCUGGUCCGUUGCUGCCAAGCACAACAGCAACGGCUUGGGGGCGACGAGGACCGGCGGCGACUUUAGGUACCACUUCAGGUCCUAGAACGCCGCUUCCGCCUUGGGAGUCCAAUUGAUUGGACCCUUCUUCUUCAUCACCUUGAAGAAAGGUAGGGCUCGCUCGCCCAGCCUUGAAAUGAAACGCCCGAGCGCCGCAACCCACCCGUUAAGGCGUUGGACAUCUCUAACCUUGCGGGGUGGCUCCAUCUUCUCGAUCGCUUCGAUCUUCUGUGGAUUGGCUUCGAUUCCCCUGUGAGAGACCAAGAAGCCCAGCAAGUGCCGCGAGUCCACGCCGAACGUGCACUUCUCGGGGUUAAGCUUGAGCUUGAUCCUACGGAGGUUGUCAAAUGUCUCCUACAGGUCGUCGACGAGCGAGUCCCUAUGCCGCGACUUGACGACGAUUUCGUCCAUGUAGGCCUCGAUGUUCCGGCCUAGCUGGGAUCCCAGACACUCGCGCAGGGCGCGCUGAAAUGUCGAACCCGCGUUCUUCAACCCGAAAGGCAUGCACGUGUAACAGUAGCAGCCCACCAGGGUGAUAAACGUUGUUUUCUCCUCAACUUCGACUGCCAUCUCGAUCUGAUUGUAGCCGGAGAAGGCGUCUAGGAAGCACAAAGACUCGCAACCCGCUGUAUAAUCUACUAUUUGAUCGAUACGGGGUACAGAGAAUGGGUCCUUAGAACAUGCACGGUUAAGAUCAGUAAAAUCUACACACAUGCGCAAUUUAUUUCUGACUUUAGGAACUACAACAGGGUUUGCUAACCAAGUAGAGUACAACACUUCCCUGAUCGCCCCGGCGUUCUUGAGCUUCUACACUUCCUGCUGGAUCAAGUCCUUGCGAUCUUGUGCUUGCUGGCGAACCUUCUGCUUGACGGGCCGCGCGUCUGGCCUCACCGCCAGCCGAUGCUCGGUCACCUCCCUAGGGACUCCGGGAAGAUCUGACGGCUCCCAAGCGAACACGUCAGAGUUCUCCCGGAGGAAGGCGACGAGGGCGCUUUCUUAUUUGUCGCCAAGGCUCACACCGAUGGAAACAUUGCGUGCCUUGUUGCCGGCAUACAGGGGAACCUUCUUGACCUUGGUGCCCUCCUCCUUCAGCUUCGUGCCCUUGCUUACGCGCGGGCUGGAGCUGGAGCUGCCCCCGGCAUCCUGUCCGGGAGCGGCUCGUGCCUUCUUCUGUGCGGGUUGUUCACCCGCAAGUGGAUCCUCGCUCCUGGCAACGUCGUAGUCGCCGGGAUCCGCCACUACGGAGGUCUUCACGACCUCGCCCACGCACCAAGUAGCGUUCUUCAGGUCGCACUUGAUGGAGAGAACGCCGUAUGUUGACGGCAUCUUCAUCACGCCAUAGGCGCAAUGCGUUGCCGCCAUGAACUUGAUCAGCGUUGGCCGACCAAUGAUCCCGUUGUAUGGCAACAGGGUGUGAGCCACUUCAAAACUGAAGUGCUCAGUCCGGAACGCUUCCCAGGAACCGAAGGUCACCGGGAGCGUGAUUCGCCCCAUGGGCUGCACCACUCCAGGAUUGAUUCGCCGGAAUGGGUCGAUGGGCUUCAUCUGCUCAAGGGGGAGCUAAAGUUUUUCCACCAGCUUGGCGAAAAGCAGGUUGAUGCUUGCCCCGCUAUCCACCAUUACCUUGGUCACCGUCACAUUGUUUAUGAUCGGCGACACGAUGAGGGGGAGCACUCCUGAACCCAAGGGACGGAUAGGGUGAUCGUCCAAGUUGAAGGUGAUCGGCACAUGCGACCACCUCAACGGCUGCUGCGCCUCCAUGCUAGGGAGGAGGGCGUAGACCUCACGCGUGAGCCACUUCACGACGGCGUGAGACGUGAGAGCAUACGCUCCCUCGUGGAUGCAGGCGACGUCGUGAGGCUCUUGGAAACCGGGCUCGUCGGUGUCGGCGUCGUUGUAGACAUCCCCGUGCUGCUCAACGCGGGGCUUGUCGCGUCCCCGGGGAGGCCGGUCUUUGCCGCCGCGGGCCUGACCGUGACCCCCCCACGGGUUCUCCUUUGUCGCCGCCGGCUGGACCCCGGCCUGCUCCGCCGCGAGGGUUGUUCGGGUGCCCGAUGUCCCCGCAGUUGAAGCAAGCCCCGGCAGCGCGGUGCUCCUCGUGGCGCUGCUCGCGCUUCUCCUUGAUAGUCUAGAGAGUGUGGCAGUCCUGUGUGUCGUGGGUGGCGUUGGUGUGGAUGGGGCAGCGCGCGGCCGCUGCCGGCUUGCUGCCCGAUGCUCCUGCCGACGCCGCCUUCUUGGCGGGCCUCUAGGGAGCCCCCGGCUCCGCGGCAAGCACUUGCUUCCCGCCGCAUUUCCGGUAGCUCUUCUUCCCGGAGCCCUCUGGUGGGUUUGCCGCUGCUUUGGCGACAAGCUCGGGCGCCAAGCGUCUUUCCUCGGCCAUCGCGCCCUUGUGCGCAAGGGCAUAGAGAUCCCUGGUGGUCCGGAUCCGGUGCGUGUUGAGCUUCUCACGCAUCUUCGCGUCGCGGACGUUGAUGGCGUACGUGUUGAUGAUGGCGGCCGCUUCCGCCUCAGGGAUGGAGUAGGAUAGGUUGGAGAACCUGUUGAUGAAGUCCCGCAACGUCUCUCCCGGUUUCUGCACGACCGUGUGUAGUUCAGCCAUGGUUCCCGGGCGCUUGUAGCCGCCCUGGAACGCGUUCACGAACUGCUCGCGCAGGUCAGCCCGGGAGGCUAUGAACCCGACGGGCAGGUUUAGCAACCAAGUCCUCGCUGAUCUUUUGAGAACCAUCGGGAACCAGUUGGUCCUGACCUUGUCGUCGGCGCCAAUGGUGUGCAUGCCCAACGUGUAGGUCAGGAGAAAAUCCUUGGAGUUCAUGGUCCCGUCGUACGUCCCGAGCGUCGGCGCUCGGAACUUGCGGGGCCACGUCACCCGGCGCAGCUCACGAGUAAACGCGGUGCAGCCAUUCUCGGCACCCAUGGGAGCAUCCUCCUGCUCCUCUGGGCGCUGGCGUACUGCCUCACGCCGGUGCCGGCGCUCCAAGUGCUGGUGAAGGUCUUCCUGCUGCCGGUGUUCAGGACGCCUCGCGCGUUACCCCGUGUAACGGUCGGUGAUGAAUUCGAGGACCCCACGGGAUCAUCGCCUCCUUGCCCUCCCAGCGGGGGAGGGUGCUCUCCGUGCCCCGAGAAGCGGGGCGCGUCUCGGCGUCCCGAGUUCUGCCCCAGGCCUUAACCAGCCGGGGCGCCCUCGCCUUGCGGCUGCUGGGCAGCGAGUGCGAGGAGCGCGUCUAGCUUCGCCCUCCAUGCUUCAUAUGCCGUCAUGCCUUGCGGUGGCUCGUAGCGCACCAUGACAUGCGCGGGUAUGAUAGCUUCCACCGGGGUCUGGGCGGGAGGCUGCCGAUUCUCCAACCGGCUGCCCUCAGCCCUGUCACCCGGUGCCCUCGGGUGGGUGGGGCGAGACUCCGUCGGCGUCGCACGCAAUGCGUUGAGCUCAUGGUGCAGCUGCCGCUGCGCGUCUUCAGCCCGUGAGUGGGCUCACUGGCCGCCGCGUGCCGCUCGCGCGGCUGGCUCCGGUGCUGGGAGCCGCAGGCACCCUCGGCCAGUUGUUUGCCGACGGCCACCGUAGCAGCGACUGCUGCUGCUGCCAUGGAGGGGACCCCUGAUCCCCUUGUGCCUGUGACGCGCGCGCAGCGUGAUGGGACCGAGUGCGCAUGGAGAGGGUGUCGCGCAAGUCGGCCUGGGGCUCGUCUGCCUUCUUGGGCGGCAUGGCGAGCUAGUCAUUGAAGAUGUCGUAGGCGAAGAAGCCAGUGUUGUCGACGAGGAUGCCGGCGGUCACCUGAAGCUCUCUGCACGCCCCCUACCUGGCGCGCCAGAUGUUCGAGCGCGGUCUCCGGCACCGGGGAUGCCGAACACCCCCUUUUUGGUUCGGUGGAGGGCGAGGUGAUCGCUCCGACGAUCACCGGCGUGGCGAUAGACACAAAGUGUAGACACAACAGUUUUACCCAGGUUCGGGCCACCCGGAGGUGUAAUACCCUACGUCCUGCUUUGAGUUUGUAUUCGCAAGUUUUAGAGCGUACAGAUCACCCGGGGAGUCCCCAGGUUGGCUACUUAGGUGAACGCUAUGCUAUCUUCUACUCACUCGGGUUUGAACUCAGCUGAACCCUAUGACCGGUGGCAUUGGUCCUCCUUUUAUAGACAAGGGGAUACCACAGGUGCCUAUGCAUGCAGGGUGACACGUCCCCUAGACGCAUGUCACGGCCGCAUGGUAUACAAUUUUACUCAUCUGUGCUGGACGCCAUCCAGUGCCCAGUCCACUGUACACGGUAGAAAAAAUAGUUCGUAGGAUAGUCGCCCUAGCCUUGCUCAGCAAGACUAGCCCUGCCAAUAAGACUCCUGUCUGUGCAUUAAAUGCAAUGCGCCCGCCGUCUUGUCCUGUCUUCACUGUUCUGCGGGUCCCGCCUGCAUGCCCGAGCGCGGGUUGCUGGGGGGCACCUUCCCGGCUAGCGCACCUGCUAGUUGUCGGGAGGCGUUCCUUUGGCUUCCCGAGACCAGGGUUCCCGGGAGCAUCUUGUACUCGGCCCUUAGCUUUAGCUUCACUAGGGAUCAUCUCCUCGAGGCAGGCUUCCCGGGCUCGUCGCUUCCCGGGAGUCCUUCCUGAUGGGCUCCGUCACUGGCGACCCACGCGUCCCGUAUCAGUGGGACCCCGUGGGCCACUGGUACGACAGCUGGCGAGAAGAAGAAGUUACAAGAAGCUGUUGCGUUGACCCAGGCGGCACAGAUUGGCUUGCCGGCUAUGACCAAUCCCCAUGGAAGUGUGGCUUUUCAGGCAGCCAAGGAGAUGAAGAAGAUACAGGUCGACAGUGAGUUCCCGGACCGCACCGUCAUCAUUGGUGCCGGCCUGGGUGCGAAAUAGGAAGGAGAGCUCACCAGCUUCCUCCGUGAGCAUCGAGACAUCUUCGCAUGGUCAAAUCAGGACCUGCCGGGUGUGCCGAGGGAGCUGGCUGAGCACUCAUUACAUGUCAACCCAGACGCAAGACCGGUGAAGCAGCCCCUUCGACGCUUCGCUGACGACAGAAGGAAAAUCAUAUCGGAAGAGAUAUCCCGGCUUCUAGCUGCCGGCUUUAUCAUGGAAGUAUUGCAUCCCGACUGGCUGGCAAAUCAGGUCAUGGUCGAGAAGAAAAAAGACGACCGAACUGCUGCCAAGGUGUGGCGCAUGUGUAUCGACUACACCAGCCUGAACAAGGCAUGUCCCAAAGAUCCUUUUCCAUUACCUCGGAUCGAUCAAGUGAUCAACUCCACUGCCGGUGUGAGUUGCUGUCUUUUGUAGACGCGUACUCUGGUUUUCACCAGAUACCGCUGAACCCUAAUGAUCAAAUAAAGACAUCAUUUAUCACCCCGUUCGGGGCUUAUUGCUAUCGCACUAUGCCGUUUGGUUUGAGAAAUGCAGGAGCAACUUAUCAAAGAUGCAUGUAAAAAUGUUUGCACGAUCAACUCGGCAAAAAUGUGCAGGUAUAUGUCGAUGAUGUCAUCAUAAAAAACAAAGAAAGCGCCACGUUGCUGGAUGAUAUCCGGGAAACAUUCGCAAAUCUGAGGAGAUUCCGAAUGAAGCUAAACCGGGCCAAAUGCACAUUCGGUGUGACGGCAGGGAAGCUACUCGGAUUCCUGCUAUCGAGCCGAGGUAUAGAAACGAACCAUGUGAAAAUCGCCGCCAUCGAGAGAAUGAAACUGUCGAAAUGUUUCAAAGAUGUGCAGAAAUUCAUUGGAUGCCUAGCAUCGUUAAGUCGUUUUGUUAGUUGGCUAGGUGAAAAGGCAAUGCCCUUAUACCAGUUGAUGAAGAAAACCGACAAAUUUGUGUGGACACAACAGGUAGAAGUAGCUUUUCAAGAGUUGAAGAAGAUGAUUGCUAUGGCGCCGAUAUUGGCCUCGCCGAUGGAAAAAGAGCCGAUGUUGUUGUACAUAGCAGCAACAAACUGAGUCGUCGGCACCGUCAUAGUGGUGGAAAGAGAUGAAGACGGCAAAUCGGUGCAUAGGCUGGUAUAUUACCCAAGCGAGGUGUUAUCGUCAUCUAAGCAGAAUUAUCCCCAUUACCAGAAGAUGGCAUACGGCGUUUAUAUGGCGGCAAAGAAGCUGAAGCAUUAUUUUGAUGCGCAUCAGAUCCGGGUUAUAUGUGAGGCGCCCAUCUCGGAAAUCAUGAGCAAUAAAGACGCAAGCGGCCAGAUCGCAAAAUGGGCUAUUGAGUUAGCACCCUAGCUGCAGUACGACAGACGGGAUGCCGUAAAAUCUCAGGCUCUGGCGGAUUUCCUGGUAGAUUGGGCCGAGAUGGAAUAUGAGCAACCGCCACCUGAAACUAGCUACUGGAGGAUGCAUUUUGACGGCUCCAAAAUGAAAAGUGGGCUUGGUGCCGGCAUAAUCUUAACUUCGCCUAAGCGUGACCAACUUAAAUAUGUGCUGCAAAUUCAUUUUGCGGCAUCCAACAAUGUCGCCGAGUAUGAGGCACUCGUGCACGGACUAAAGAUGGCAAAAGAGAUUGGAGUUCGUCAAAUUCAAUGCUUUGGCAACUCGGACUUGGUAGUCCAGUAAGCUUCCGGCAAUUGGGAUGCAUUGGAUGCCUAUAUGGCGCUAUAACGCUUUCAUGUUCAGAACAUCAGUGGUCACUUCGAAGGGUGUGAAUUCCAUCGUAUACCGCGGGCGGAGAAUGAGGCAGCCGACACACUGUCGAAGCUCGGCUCAACGCGACAAGCUAUCCCGGCUGGUGUGGCUUUGGAGCAUUUACGCAAACCAUCCAUCAAGCCCUCACCAGAAUCGGAGUCACUCUUUAUCCCGGCAAGCUCAGAAGCUGAUGCCACCCCAAUGGACAUUGACAGUGGCAGCGGUUUUGGUAACCGAGGACUGAGCGCCCUAACUCAGCGGAAGCAAUGCGGUUGAGCCAAUGCAGAUAGACGAACCAGACGAGCCGGUUUUUGCCACUCGCCCCGUGCCGGCUUGGACACAACCGAUAAUGUCUUACCUCAAGGAUGGGAGUCUCCCGGAAGAGGAAGUGUCGGCAAGCCAAAUUCAGAGAAAAGCAAAGGCGUACACUAUCAUCAAUGGCGAACUAUACAAGAGAAGUGUUACUAACAUCUUGCAGCGAUGCGUCGAGCCGGCAGAAGGGCAAGAGAUACUCCGAGAUAUUCAUCAGGGAGAGAGCGGUCACCAUGCGUCUUCAAGAACAUUGGUGGGCAAAGCAUUCCGGCACGGUUUCUACUGGCCGAGUGCGCUACAGGAAGCAGAAGACAUGGUUCGGAAAUGCAACGGUUGCCAGAGAUAUGCCCGCAAGAUUCACAUGCUGGCAUCCGAGCUCAAUACUAUUCAAAUCACUUGGCCAUUUGCUGUUUGGUGUUUGGAUAUGGUGGGACCUUUCAAGCGGGCGCGAGGAGGUAUGACACAUAUCCUGGUCAUGAUUGAUAAGUUCACCAAAUGGAUUGAAGUAAAGCCGAUACGGAAGUGUGACGGCAAGACCGCAGUAUCAUUUCUGAAAGACAUCAUAUUGAGGUAUGGUUACCCGCACAGCGUCAUCACGGAUAACGGCACAAACUUCACGGAAGGACCUUUUGCGCGAAAAAGAAAAUCCGGCUAGACAUCGCCUUCGUGGCACAUCCUCAGUCCAACGGACAAGUUGAGAGAGCAAACGGCAUGGUUCUACCGGCAUAAAACCUCGGUUGUUUGAGCCACAGGAACGCACUCCAGGGUGCUGGUUAGAUGAACUCCCAGCUAUGCUAUGGAGUCUCAGGACAACUCCAAAUCGCUCUACAGGCUACACGCCAUUUUUCCUCGUAUACGGGGCGGAAGUUGUCUUACCAGCCGACAUUGAACAUGACUCUCUGUGAGUGACCAUGCAUACGGAAGCCGAAGUAAAAGAGGCCCGAGAAAAUGAUGUCGACCUGCUCGAAGAAGCACGGGAACAGGCUUUAGCUCGGUCGGCCAUCUAUCAACAACACCUAAGGCGUUAUCACAGCCGGAGGGUAAACCCGCGAGUAUUCUAGGAAGGAGACCUCGUGCUCCGACUUGUGCAGCGCACAGCCGUCAUGCAUAAACUGUCACCCCCAUGGGAAGGACCCUUCAUUAAUGUGAGCAAAGCACUACACAACGAUUCCUACUAUCUUAUAGAUGCGUAGGAUCCCAAAGCAAACAGGAUGGACAGGUCAGGCGAAGAGACCCAGAGGCCAUGGAAUGUAACUUUGCUUCGUCCUUUCUAUACUUGAAACAUGAGUAUUUGUAUCGUUUUUACCUUAUGUUGAAUGUUUUGAGACAAUGAAAUUAUCCGCCGGGUUCUUGAAAGGGACUCGGUGACUUCCAUGCUAUUUAAGUGUUGUAUUGCAAUUAUCUAUUUUUAUGUCGGCAUGGCUUAGUUGUGUCAUCUUAUGUCGGUUUAGUAGUGUGUCGGUAUUGAAAAUCCCCUUUAUGACUUAGCUGUUGUCCGCAACCCGGCUUCAUGGCAACCUAGAGUAUGGGUACGAGAUCACUGGACACAUGAAAAACGAUUGCGGAAAUAAACAAAGAAGCAAGCCGAGGUGCGUCUUGUUUUAUCUAACCCGGCAUUUCAUUCCCAUCUCGGGUAUUGCCAAGCAAAUUUGUCGGGUUUAAUUUUUUGAAAGGGUUGUUCUAUGACUUCGCGAUUCAUACGUCGAACGCCGACAAGGCAGACAAAGAGCCAGAGUCAUAAAAUUUCACCAACAGAAAAGAUAAACUCGAGGACUCGAUCGGGAACUCAAUAAUUAAAAGACUUAAACAAAUUAAAAGUAUGGUACUUCACAACCAAAAGUGUUUCAACUCGGUUACAUCUGCACCCGGCAUCCCAGGGAUCUGAUAAUUUUAAAGUAUUUUUUCUGACAUGCCUAAGAAGAAACAGAAGGAUUGUUGGCGCCGGAACUCGGAGCGUCCGUUGCAGUGGAAGCCGACUCGACGACGAUCUCUUCGUCGGCUUCUUCCUCGUCUUGCUCGGCCAUUUCUGCAUCUGCCUCUGAUACCGGACCCUCUACAAAUUUAUGCACAUCGGCAUAUUGAAUAAAGGAGUAGGCCCGCUCCUGCCGCUUCGCGAUAAGCUCCGGAUCCGAGAGGAAGGGGGAGCCGACUCGCAUCGACUGCCGCACGUCAAGGUUGAUGCCGUCGUACCAAGAAAGUACGAACGACAAAGCCUCGUCGGCGCCGACACGAGCGAACGACUCCCGCCACUCAUUCAGCCGGUCCUCCACCUCCAGAAGGCGUUUUUCCAAUUCCGGGAUGCCAGUCAGAGCUUCUUCUCCCGGCCACAGAGCUCGGAAGGCUCAGAUGCCGGCAUUGAGCAUGUUUACCCCGAAGGAUUUCAGAGGCUUAACCCGGCUAGCAAUGCUGACCAAGUAAUCCUCCAAGUUAUACUCCGAGGGUACUGCCCUGGCUAGAUCCCUCCGUUUACGAGCUUUGAUCACGGCAGCUUGAGCAGUCUCAAUAGAUUGUGGAAAAAAUUCUGAUAAAGACAAAUAGGAACUCAUGAGUCUCGGAACCCUAUUGCUCUUCUCGGCCAAAUGGUCAGAGGGAAAAGAUUUGGACAAGGGCAACUUACUAGUCAGCAUCACGUCGAUUCUGAUGAGAUCACGCCUGCACACGCUGAGCAGGCGGGCGUUCUCAGCCUUCUCCUCCUCGGCAGCAAUGGCGCGGGUCUCGACCUUGGCGACAAGAUCCUUGCAUUUCCGCACUUCGCCUUCCAGGCGGAUCUUCUCGUCGGCUUGGGCAGAGAGAGCCGAGGUAAGUUGACCUACCUCGGUCUUACGCGCCUCUGUUUGCGCUUCGAGCUGCACCUUCAGCCGGGACACUUCAUCCCGGUGUUGUUCUUCUAGCCGAGUCUUCUCAUCUGUUUAGCAGACGUGGGCUACAGAAGCUUGAGUUUAAAAGGGAUGAAACCCGGGAUAAGGACAAGAUUAUACCUUGCACUUCAGCGACGCGCUUCAAGAGCCCCGACACUUGAGCAUUGUCCCCGGCUGUGAACGAGAGCACAUAUCAGUUUUCGCGGUACAUUAAUACUCGGACGUAGUUUCUAUGUCGGUGGAAAUGUACUUACCCUGGCUCUGGCGCUCGGCUAACAAAGCCUUGUGCUCCGCCGCCAGCUUCUUGUGUUUCGCCAGCAGGACCUUGAAGGUGGCAGUGCGCUUGUUCAUGCAGGUUUACAAGACAGUAAUCAACAUUUAAUUCUAUUGCAGUGGGAUAUCAACAGUUUUUAAGCUUCAGGCCAACAAUUCUAAACCCGGCCUGAAUCUCGGGGAAUAAGUGUUUGAAGUUUUUAAGCUUCAGACCGACUAUUCUAAACCCGACCUGAAUCUCGGGAAAUAAGUCUUUGAAGUUUUUAAGCUUCACGCCCACUAUUCUAAAUCCGGCCUGAAUCUCGGGGAAUAAGUGUUUGAAGUUUUUAAGCUUCAGGCCGACUAUUCUAAACCCGACAUGAAUCUCGGGGAAUGGUGUUUGAAGUUUUUAAGUGUUGCAGAGUGUUUGAAGUUUUCUAACAUAAGCUUCAGGCCGACUAAUUCUUACUCGCCCUAAACCUUGGAGACUAGGAGUAUAGAUACUAGAGAUAAAGUAAAAAACUUCAAGGGAAUUUUUCGUACCUUGGCAGCUCGGCUGGAUUCAAACAAGGCAACCCUUGCCUGAAACAUCCGGGCUGACACAGAAUCCGGAGUCGCCACAGGUGCGGGCCCCACUAGAGGGCUCUGCCGUGCUGUCUGGAGGGUGCUGGAGGUCACUUCGUAACUAUCGGCGCUAUUCCAGUCCAUCACGAACUGGCCGAGCGACCCCCCGCUAUGCCCGCUGGUCGUCCUGAGGGGAACUCCCUGGUUACCCUGGGCAGACCGUGAGCUGGAGGAACUCAAAGGCGCUUGCCCCGCCGGGAUAGCAGAGCUCCUAGUUCUCCUAGCUUGUGCAGCCGCUAGUUGGGUAGCUUGCGGCUGCGUGGCGGUGAUGGCGGUGUUGAUGUCGUCUGCGGUCCUUGGGGUUCUUGCGGCUCUGUAGCCGGCUGCUGAGGAGUCUCCGUUCCAGCGGCUCCGUUUGUGUCUCGGUUGCCGCCGAUGAAGGAGCGGCCCCGGCUACCGAAGUCCCGGCUUGUGCGACGCUCGAAGCGUCGAUGCUCGGGCCGACAUCCCGGACGGGGGAUAUCAGAUCCGCAGCAGUCUCGGUCUCUCCCGUGGCCUGAGCUGCAGGCUCGGCACGAGGAGAUGGAGCUUCCGGGAUCUCAGACGAAAUGCACGUGUGAGACUGAGUGGCCAUCAGAGCCUCCCUGCAGGAAUGAAAGUUGGUUGUUUUCAUGAUAGUUAAGGAGAAAACCGACAUCAAAGAUUGAGAUGCUGUCAGUCUUACCCAACAGUCAUGGGCUUCGGCUUUGGUCCACGAGAGGCGGUUUUCUUCCGCUUCGUGGUCCUCGGAAGAUCCUUCUCGGCGACGCGUUUUUCACGGGCCGGCGCCGCAGCGGCAGCUGGACCCGACGCCUCAGCAGCGGCGGGAUCGUCUGAGUCGGUUGUUCCCGGAUUAAUGCAGGUGUGAGCAUUUUAAUGAUAAGUGUUCUAAUAACUAUGAGAGGAUGUCGGAAGUCAUUACCUUCGAUGCGACGAGGGCCAGCAUGAGCAAUCGGCAUGUGAUCCUCCGAGUCCGGAUCUUCAUGGUCGAUGGUCAUGCAUUGGCUCCCAAAGCGCUUGUCCGGGGAUUUCCCGUCUUCAUUGCGCUGAAGGGUAAACCUCUGCACAAAGGAAUCAAGUCGUGCUGAAAUAAGUCUUUGUCAAAUGAAAGCCGGCAUAACCAUAUGUCGGAUGAGAACAGAAGAUACAUACAAACAAAAACUCACCAGGGGCGAAUGGUGCUUCCGGCUGUGCGCCGGCAUACCCCAUUCCCAGCGCUCGGGCAAACUCGUCUUCGCGAUUGCCUUAACCCGGCGCCGAACUUCAGCCUUGUCAAGCCAGACGGUUGACACCCGGUUCGGAUCGAACUGACCGUCGUAGAAACACAUCUUGUGUGUCCGGCGUUGGAGCGGGCACAACCGCCGGUACACAAAGGUUGCCAGCAAAUCAUCGGCCGUCAUCCCUUCUGCCUUGAGUUCGAGGAUGCCGGCGUGGAUCUCGUUGAUCUCAGGAAGGGUGUCCUACGGAUCAUACUUCCAGUUCUUCUUCUCCUCCGGAGGGCCGACUACGAAUCUCGGCAGAUUAAUCUUGUCAUUGUCGGAGGAGUUCUUGACAUAGAAGAAGGUCUUGAGCCAUUCUUGCAGGACUCAAGACCUUGGAUCCGAGGGAAGGCCGAGCCUCGGCGGGGUAUCACGUUGGCGGCGGCGCACUGGGUCAUGGGCUUAGCGGUGCCGGGAUUCUCUUUGUCGGGAAGAACUUGCGGUCGGAACAUGAAAUAUUUGGCCCACAAGUCGACGGAAUGCCAGAGGCCGAAAUAGGCUUCGCAACAGGUGACAAGCGCCGAGAGAGUAAGGAUGGCGUUUGUCGGAAGGUGGUGCGGCAGAAGGCCGAAGAAAUCUAAGAAUUUCCUAGUAAAAUCACUAGCCGGCAGAGCGAACCCUCGUUCAAAGUGAGCAAAGAAGACGACAUGCUCACCAGAUUCGGGUGUCGGCACGAUCUCGUUGCCGGGGAUCCGGCACUCCACAUCUUCCGAAAUCCGUCGGGAGCGGCGGAGCCACUCGAUGUCUGCCGGGGUGACGUCGGAGCCUUCCCAGCCAGCUGCUCUGAGCCCGUCUCCUCCUCGGUGUGGUGAGAAGCGGGGUCGGCGGCGGCAACGACGUGGGACGAAGAAGCCAUUGUUGGAAACUAGAUCUAGGUUUAGCUUCUCUGGUGAGAAGACAGUGGCGCAAGGCUCAAGCGGGCAAGGAAGCGGCGGCGGAGAACUAAGUUAUCACGCGCGAAGAUGCGAUGGCGAGCUCGGGUGCUAGGAGCAAGGAGACGCAGUAGCAGAGAAGCUCGGAGGUCACGGCAAUGGAGGAGAGCGCAAGUGCGGAAGAGAGCGAGGGCGUCGAGGAAGGAGGAAGGGUUUCACUCCACCCCCUCCCUUUAUUUAUACCCACAGUGCGCUAAUGGCGCGCGGAUCUUCCGCGCCCACGAUCCCUGUGGCCAACGGAAAGGCCGCGCACGAUCAUGGGGGCAAUCAACCCCAUUAACGCGCACGCGCUCGGUUACCGCGCGGCGUGGCGCAGUAAAUCCCGUCAAAUCCGGGAGGAUAAGGAUCCGCGUGGGAACCGAUAUUCCCCUCUUAAUGGCCUGUCGGCUUUACUAUCCGAUGGGACGACACGCUCACCUCAAAGGGCGCGCCGGCAGUACUUCGGGUCUUAUCUUCUCGUUACUUAAGCAGAGCGCGGAGUACAAGCGACCGGUGGCACCAGUGUCGGCAGAAGCGAGUUUUCUACUGUCGGCCAUGGAGGAGAAAGGAAUCUCGGCUCAGGGCUGAAUAAGCACGCUGACUCGAUAUGUCGGAGUAACUUGAUCUCGGCUAAGAGAACUCGGGGUUGUCUCGGCAUCCUUCUCAACUAGGCCUUGGUGGGCUUCGAUGGUUUGUCUGUGGGAAACUGUCGUGGACCGACAUUCUUCCCUGUCGGACCGCAACAGCUUCAGGGACUAGUGUCGGGGGGAUGACCCCGGGUAGGGUCAGGACAACUGCCGAAGGCAAAACCCGGCACAAGCAUGUACGUUGGCAUCUUUAAACCGAACUAACACUAAGCCGGCAUACCAAGUGUAUUCCGGCAAAUCUAUCAUGUCUUAUGUGAUUGCAGGAUAAGGACGAAUACUCUGAUCUCGACUACCGCCGAGAUGUCUCAACGGUCUUAUCCUUAUCUCAUGGCGCAAAGUAAAGCAGUGUUCUCUUUAUCACAAGAAAGCAGUCGCUGCUUACAUUGCGGUGCCAGGCGACUGUGCAAAGAAGCACCGAAAGAGAAUCAGUGGCGAAAGCCGGCAGGUGGUUGCGGUACUUGUUGCAGGACGCCAGGAAAAGUAAAGUUGUCUUGUCCCUUGCGGUGCCACCCGGAGGGAACCAAGGCGCGUGCCCGACGGGGCCCUUAGAAGAUAACGUUAGCAUUUGGCCCACAUGUCAGUGUGACAUGAGCGGUCCAUAAUAGACCACGACACCUUCCCUAGAGAGGGACACACACACUUAGACAUCUAGGGUUUUCCCCUUCUUCUUCUUCCUCAAGAAAACUGCUCAAGGAGCACCAUUGUAGAUCUCGGUAUCUCGGCUUAUACAACAAAGCAGGAGUAGAAGUCUUACCUCGACAAGAGGGCUCCGAAUCUAGGUAAAUCUGUGUGUGCUCGUGUGUUUGUGCGUGUUUCUUAUCACGUCCUCCCUCCUCCGGAUCCUCCUUCGUCCACCGGCCCCAACAUAAGCCAUCCUAUGGCAUCUGCCGUGACACCACCACGACAGUUUCACCUUGUCUCUUCUUAUGCUGAAUCCAUUUUGUUUAGCAUAGUUGUUGUAGAAACUGUAAGCAGCAUUUUCCGAAUAGAAAAACAUCUCCAUUAUCUGACGGUAUCGACCACGCCGAUCUUCGUCAAGUUCAAUGUUCAUGUUAAAACUGCAGUCUCCCGCUUCUUCGUCCUGAAGAUGGUCUUGCAACUACACAAUGUGAAAUACAUAUAUAAGUCUCGCUAUCAUUAAAUCAUGUAACAGCUGAUCAACGUACCUCACUCGUGCUUCCCGAGUAGGACCCCGUAAUAACCUCCGAUUCUUCAGGGUCUUCUUCAUGCCCCAUGUCAAUGUCCGAAUCCCCAAUGUAUUCAUAUUCAUCGCCGGAGCCCAUCAUGGACUGUAAAAAGAAAUGAAACCAUACGCGUCAUAACUUGGCGUCACGUUCCUUGUAUUUAUCAUCGCUUCAGGUAUGAAUAGGAAAUGAGGUAUACAACUUACAUCGCUCAUGUAGUCCGAAUCAGAAGGAUCGGCCUGCUCAUGAUCAACACCUAAUUCGUGCUCAAGCCUCACGUUUCUGUCGUCGGUUCCUUCGCCAUCAAAUGGCCCGUUCCUAGGACUAGACGACAUGGAUUCAUUAUCCGAACUAGAAUCCCCGCCUGCGUAUCCUCGUCCUCCAUACCUCAGCACUGCACAACCACAUGAACUUGCGAUGUUAUUGAUAAUGAAAAAGGCAGAAUGUAUAGGUGGCUACCGGGGUGGCGGAGCUAAACUAUAGCGCUAGCUAGGCUAACCUACAUGAGGUUGGCGUGGACACCAAUAGCAUGAAAGCACGGCAUUACCUUUGGACGAACGGAGGAGGCAGGAACCACGGCAGGGUUGGUCGAACGAGACCACUCCGUCGAGAUAUGUGUCCGGCCGCCGGAGUUUUCACGGAGAUCUGUGUAAAAGGAUGGCGAGGUGGUGUCGGGUCUCUUCCGCCGGACAGAAUCGCAGAUGGCGGCCGCCGCAUGAUUUUUUUUGAAAACCGCCAGCCGAAAAUGUAUCGCGUGCACGAUUCGUGGUGUUGAUCCGGCCGUUUCUGUUUUUGUUUUCAUUUCCUUUUCUUUUCUUUUUUUCUAUUUACAUUUGCGGGCGGGUUACCUCGACGCCGUAGACGAAUACGUACGCGACUACGGGGUUAUACAGGGCUUGGAUAUGGGCUUACGGCGGGCUAUACCUACAGGGGCCUGACUUAAGUCGUGGAGCCCUGGAAACCCGAUGACUUACGUUGGGGGGUCGCAUCGAAUUACGCCUCUCGUCCAACAUGGUCCGCGAUCAUUCUCCCAUGUCUCCUUUUCUUCAUAUAACCCAAAAAGGUUACGCGUGUCUGCGGUUUUGCGCCAAUGCCAUGUUCUUGAACCCUUGAGAGAUAAAAUUAUCUGCAAGCACUCAAUUCAGAUAUCAAUGUACAGCUGCUCCAAUAGCCUUUCAAUCUUAUACACAUCCACAGCAUACAUAUCCCCAGCCAGCUACUACUUGCCGUUGCCGCCCUUUGCAAUUGCAUAGCCUUAUGGAUAACAGAAAGCCAACGGCUACCACAUAAACAUCAUGAUGACAGGACGUUGUCCUGCCGUAUGGACGGGAUCAGCAGCAGAUCGAAUAUCCUCUCCGUCUUCGCUGGGCCGAUGGAGCCGGAGCCCCUCUUGCGCGCACGGGGACAAGGGCCGCGUCCCCAUCUGGUCCAGUGCAGCAUUUGCACUACACGGCGUGGCCGGGAGGACACGGGAUGAUCAAGAAAGAGGGAAGGGGACACGACACGGCCUUGACAGCCAGAACCACAGACGUGGGGUUUGCGCUUUUCCUGUGCCCUGUAGCGCCCGGAGGAGUUGGCAAUGGCAUGCAUGCAGUUCCCGAUCGGCCACGGCAUACGAACGCGGAUCAGAUCAGAGCUAGCGUAUCCUAUGCCCUCGGGCGAGUGCCGCAGGAGCUAAGCUAGCUUGUUAAGGGCGAUUUGCCGGUGGUAGUCCCUCGUUGAUCAUUGUACUGUAUUCGGUGCCUAAAAUGGUACUCCCUCCUUAGUAAAAUCUAGUACACCGUAAUAUUGGAAAACGCAGAAAGUAUACUGCUCCCUACAAUAAUGGAUGACGUUCCUCUGGUGGGCUGGAAAACUUUUAAACAAAAUGGUCACGGCAAAACACGUACCAAUUAAUACAAGUUUUUUUGGGGUGUGUGUGCUACUCUCUCCGUUCCAUAUUAAGUGACUUUUUAUUACAUGUAUCUAGACGUUUUUUAGACAUAAUUUGGAUCGUUUAAUACGAGACGGAGGGAGUUUUUUUUUUCCGGGAGAAAUGCCCUUUCGUUGUUGCCAACUUGCCGUGGAGAAAAGCUGAAACAGAGUAAUGCACGAAGCCGGACACUUUUGCAGGCUAAGGAUUUGCGUGAUUUUAAUCCAUAGAAACAUUUUAACAACUUUUUAUUUAGACUAAGUAGUGUGUUACGGCCACAUUAUUUUACGGAGUGGUUUGCUAUGCUUCAAUUUUAUGGAUUCCUAGCAAGAAAUUGAUGUCUUGAAGAAAAAAAAUGUUGUGUGUUUCACAGUUUCUCUUUCUUUUCAAAUGCUCUUUUUAAAGGGUCAAAAUGCUUUUUUUAGAACAGAAGUAGUAGUACUCAUGAAGCGUGGUAAAAAAAAUACUAGUUUUUUAGGGAAAGUACUACUCCCUCCAUUUCGAAAAAUUAUACAAAUCCACGUCACUUAUUUUAAGACGGAUGAACUAUUCUUUUUUAGGGAGUACUGGUAUUUUUUUUAGAGGAAAGUACUGGUACUCGUGAAGCUGAAUCUCUCGGUGAGGCUUAAUUAUAGAUGAAAAACAAGCCCACUGAGCACUAGUUCAAAAGCCCACAAAUAAGCCCACUAAUUCUACGUAAUCAAUUGUGGGCCAUAGCCUUCUCCCUAGGCUGCUGGGCUUCUACAGAACCUAAGCUACUGGGCCGAUCCCCAUCUCAUGAUAGUUAAUGGGCCGGUAGUCACCUUCUCAUCCCACAAACUCAACAACCCGAUUCCCGGGAUUUGGAUCACGAUCAUCACAGGUCAAGUCACUCAUCACUCAUGCACUAAAAAAAGGUACAAAGAUUUGCUUGUUUACAAACUACUCCAGCUAGCUGUGAUCACUCCAUACUCCGAAUAUAUUUUUCCCAGGAGUUGCAUCGGUUCUCGUGCUCCUGUGGAAAGAAGCAAAUCUUAAAAGCCAGCCCAAGGGAGAGCUCACUUUUCUCCCCCCUUGCCUAAACAAACCGAUCAACUCGGGGAGUCGCAGAGAAUCGAAUCAAGCUAGCUGCUAUACUACUAAAAACCUCGUGCGAUCCAUACGCACAAGCAAAAGGCAAGCGACGAUACGAUCUCGCUUGCUCCGGAUAAAGUCGACCGCAAACUUCCGGUGCCAGUCAGUCCGGGGCACUGUGCUUUCUGCAAGAUUCUGCCUAAGCCAAUGCCUUUUUCUCCCUUGGUUAUCUUAGGAGCGUGAUUGAUUCUGCCUUGCCCAAUGGCAGUGCAUGCCACCCGGUAUCUCUCUCUCUUCUCCGUCCCCUUUUUGUUAUCAAAUUACUUAUCUUGCAGAAAGCAGGAGGUGUAAUCUUGGCCUCUUGGGGUUCCCGUGUUCCAUGCAAUAAAGCCGAGAUUUCCGAGAGAGGAGAAGUGUUUUGAUUACGGUAACAAGGUAACAGCACUACACUGUUUCAGCUUUUCUGUGCUGUAAACUGGAUCCUGACAAGUGAAAUGGACUGAGAAAAUGUACUCUUCUCUGAACGAACUCCAUAAAUCUGAGUCCCUUACUCGGACGUGGCGCGCCCGUGGGUAAUUUCGAUGUCUCCUUGAGUUAUGUACUCCCUCGGUCCAACAAACUAUAUCUCAACUUUGACCAAAUUUGAAUGCAUCUAUAUAUUACUCAUGUUUACAUACAUCUAAUUUUUGAUAAACUUGAAAUAUUUUUUUGUUGUACGGAGUCCGGAUGGAGUACUCCUUUUCAUCCGUACAAAAUACAAGGCCUAUGACUUUUGUUGAUGGGAACGUUGCGUGCCGUGCAUGGCGUGGCUGCAUCGGCAUGGCAGAGCACAGGAAAAGAAAGAACGACCCAGCCGAGAUAGAUCCGCCUCGUGACAAGAGCAAGGCAAAUAUUGAGCCCAUGUUGACAUAAACAAGGGAAAGAAUUACUGGUAAGCACUUGUAGGAUACUGUAGCUGCGUCGUCGGGAAGCGAAAUCAUGGGGCCAUAAUUGCGUGUGGAACCAGAGAGAAUCCAAUAGGGGCCGGGGUUGCAGCAAUCCUGGUCACACCUUCUUUUAAAGGAGAGGAUCUCCUCUGCUUCGGACUUGUUUUUUUUUAUUAAUAUGCAGUCUGCAUAGAUCUUCUGGAGGGACACCUCUCUGCUGCGUGCAUUAAUGUACACAUCAUCCUCUUCUGAAGACUGAAGAUCUCUGCAUUUUCUGCAUGCAUGCAG